rnacentral:misc_RNA from 1 species
GUGAAGUUUUGUAUUUAUUUAAAUAAAAAUGUCCUUCAGAAAUUAUAGUGAUUUGGGGUACAGACCGCGGAGCAGUGCCAGUGUAAGCGGAAUAACGAGAAAUCCAACGAGCUCUAGUGGUAGUUCUAGCAGUUUAGGUGGUUAUCGGAGCAGCUACUCAACGAGUCUCGGAUCCGCUCGAGCAUCUCUAGCUUCUUCAAAAGACAGAACAAUUACCCCGUCUUCGGGAUACAGAAGUACUGGAUUAUUGAAACGGACUGAAGAUAAAUCCUAUAAGCUCCCAAAUAAAAGCGAAAAAAGCCUCGGAACAACGCUGCUGGAAAAGUAUUCUUAUCCUGUAACAAAAACGAGCCCGCGUAUAUCAUCAGUGCUGGAGAAAUACGGAGAGCGUGUCGGUGACAAGACCCGAGAAUCAGAGACACCGUCAAGGUAUGUGAACAGCUCGUAUCGCGGAUCUGGAUCGCGUGAAAACGAGCAAGACAAAAGUGGAGAAAAAAUAAAAGGGAAUGAUAAUUCGGGUGCUUCCUCUUUGAGACCCUCCUCUUCAAAUGCCUCUCACUAUUCUAACACCAAUUCAAACCGGGGUAAUGCUGCAACUUUGCCGAGAAGUUUCGCCUCAACUUCUACAAGAGAACCCAGUCCCGAAAUUACUGGGACAAAGCCGACCUCCUUCAAAGUUCACGCCAGAAUUUCCAAUUAUGGACAGACUGGAACUGCAUCUGAAACACCAAUAGCUAGCAAGUUUACCAACUCCUCGAGGCAAGGAUCUUCCUCAGCGAGUCACAAUGGAGAGAGAGCCGAAAUACCUAUAGGCCAGCCCCAUCCUCCCAGCUCGACAACAACAACAGUAACAGCAACAACUACCACUACUACUUCAGCAUCAACUCCGCCUGCAUCCGCUGACAGACUGUUGUCUUCAUUAUCCUCUAUGAAAACAGUUUCUUCAGUGUUAAAUCCCGACGGGGAAUACGAUAGCAACAAAUCCACACCUACACCCACUGAAUCGGCAAACAUCUCUCCGUCAAACUCACUUGGAAAAAGUGUAAUUGAAGCCUCAGAUAAAGAUAACCAUAAGGUUCAAGUUAAAGACAAAGAAGAAGACAAUGAAGAUAAAGAUAAAGACGGGCAGCCGAGAAACAAAGCAAAAACAAAUGUACCCUUCAGCACCGAAGAUCCUGUCAAGCUAGUAACUAUCACCGUCGUCUCGCGUGGAACAUCUCCAGGUCCCCCAGGACCUGCCACAGCGUUUAUUCGAUCGAGAAGAGUCGACAUAGCUCGCACCAUCCAAAAAGAUAUCACUCGUGUUAUUAAAAACCCAGAAGAAUUCAAAGACGCCGGGAUUCAGAGCGACCGUAUGGAUGACACCGCCAGAUAUUCGCGGUACGCCAUCCGGUCCUCACCUUGGUCUGCCUCCUCACCCUCCUCCUCGUACCUCGAAAAAUUUUCAUCUUCAGGUUCUUUUUCGAGGACUUACGACUCCAGAGUCAGCAAUUUCGGGUACAGACCGGCUGUUACAGAACCCUCUUCUUCAGCUAUUUCUUCAGCUUCCACUCCGCCUCCACCUUUUUCUUCUACAUCGAUAACUAGACACAACGAAGCUCAUUUUAAAACUGCAAGUGUUAAACCCGAGGACACAAAAGAACCCCCGUGUCCUGCCACGCAAGACUGCAAUUUAUCACCCGAACUAGAGACCGAAAAGACGUCUCCGGAGAAAGAAGUUAAGCGGGAUAAUUCUGUUACCUCGGGUUCAUCAUCUGCUUCGUCAUCCCGACGCACGUCGCUAUCAAGGCAAGAUGUCACACCCAAGUCUCUGUCCAGGAAUGGCUCUACGAAGAGCUUUAAGCAUCAACAACAACAACAACAACAACGUCAAAUAACACCGGGAAGAACUGACUCUUCGGACAGCGCGACUGUCAGUUUGCCAACUGGCAAGUCCAAGUCCACGUCAGCCAGCUCGCUGACGAGUCAUAAUGCAAAAAUAAGAGCUCCCUCUCAGUCUCUCAAAACUUCAUCCGAGGUGGUCACCUCGUCAUCCGCGACUACACCUUCUAAUUCGCGCAGUGGAUCCGCUACCGCACGUGGCAAGCCUCCCGUUCCUGGGAAAACUACUAGUGACAGUUCUGGGAGCAUGAAGAACUCUGGUUCUAGUUCUACCAAGUAUGUCAACAAAGACUUUAGAAAAUCCGCGCUCAAUAUGCCGGAUGCAAGUGACUCUAGUUCGAGAAAUAAAUUAAAUCGCAAGAGAACUAAAAGCUCGCGCAGUGGCUCUGUCAGUUCUCAGGAGGACGUUAAGAGUAAUAAUAGCUUCUCUACUAGUAAUAGUAAUAAUGGAAACGAAACAAGUGGUAAGAGUCAUAUACCUCGUAUAAAUGGCUUAAAAAACGGCUCUAGCUCCUGUCUUGUUAUUUAUAAUAAACUAAGAAGCAACUCAGAAUCUCCAAGAAGAAAAGCUAGCGUAUCUUCGGAGCGAACUAGCUUGCCAAGUGACUCUUGCUCAAGUUCUUCUUCUUCAUCCUCCUCUUCUUCUUCGUCAUCUUCCGAGAGCAAUGAUGAAGAUCAACCGAAGAGCAAUCGAAGAAAACGCAGGAGCAAAAAUUCGACGAGUUCAAUGGGGAAAAAAAUAGGAAGCAAGGCUCUUGCUGUCAGUGCGAGUUCCUCGAGGACCAGUGUCUUAGCGCUGUCUACCGACGAAUUGUCUCUAGGAAUGGACAAACCAAGAGCUGGCUCCUCGUGUGGAAGUUUCAAGAGUGAGAAAUUGAAAACUGACGAGGCUAAGGCUUUUCUUAUACGGACUUUGACGCCUGUUGCUAAUAUUUAUAAGGAGGAAGACACCAGGUCCGAUAGUUGGGGGAAAAAAGAACCACGGAGAGGAUCGAUAAGGUCCGUGUCGAAUUCUGGAAGCCAGAAUUUUAAUGCGAAUAACGGAUUAAGUUUAUCUGAGAAUAAUAAUAAUGUUAAUAUUGUUAGUAAUGAUAGUAAUAAUAAUAAUGAUAAUAAUAAUAAUAGUUGUGGUGGAAGAGAAAAUGAGACAUUGAAAAGACAAUAUUCUGGGGAAAAAGCUUGGUGGAUGGACGCUAACUCAGACAAUGUACCUGAGGGGAUAGAGCGUGUUAGUGUCUGUCAAGAUGAAAUAAGUCAAGAGACAACUGUCAGCACUAAUUUGCCUGAUGAUGGUAAAUACAAAGUAUGGAAAGACUCAGUGCAAGAAGACAGUUGGUGGAUAAACCAAGAGGAGCUGCCCAUGAAGAAAGAAUCGAGCUCGUCGUCGAGAAAAACAAGCAAAAAAUCAAGCAGCGCUACCGAGCGGAAAAACCGUCUGAAGCAUCAGCAAUCCGGAGAACGUGCUUGGUGGAUGAGCGAGGACCCCAGUGAAGUACCCGAAGGCAUUGAAGUUUACCCGAGUGGCAGUACGUCCCCGCAAAACGUGAGCCAAGGACAAAACUCGGUCCCGGGAAGCGAGACUGUUUCGCUGAGUGUCAAUAGAAUAAGACACAUUGAGUCGGGAGAACGCGCCUGGUGGAUGGACAGUAACUCAAAUAUUCCCGAGGGUGUACAGAAAAUAAGUAUCGAGAACGAGUCCAAUAGCAAUUCGGACGACUUGUCCGGGUCGUAUGAGAAACUUGAAAUAUAUCCCGGCAGAUCGAUUGUCGGGGGUGAUGGUUGCACUUCUGUGGGACGUACUGGACACCAAGGACAUACUGAGUCGGAGAUGGGUAUUGAAUUUACGACGUCAAUGUUAGAGGAUUUGCCUCUCGGCGAUCGUAUAAGUCCAGAAGGGGUUGAAAAUCCAUCAACGUUAGAAUGCUACCGGACACCGAGUUACGACAAGAUCCAGCCCAUAAACAUACAUCAUAAUCAUGUGCGUCGCAAAUCAUCGCCGCGCAAGCGGCCAUCGACGUUGCCUUUGUUCAUCGGCGGAGUUACCAAUAUCGAUGACAUUCUGGGUGAACCAGCUGCUUACAACACUUCCGUAAUAUCACGCGUAUACAAACAGGAAGCAGUGAAUGUUGGAGAAACUUCGGAUGGGAGCUCGGAAUGUGAAGAGAUAGAUGUGGCUGAAGUUAUAAUCCACGACAGCACGCCGAAAACUCCGGUUAUUCAACGACGAGUAAGAGAUAAAGAGAGACCACAGCCAGACGGUUACAUCCCGUUGGACGAUACAGCAUUACAACUUUACAAAGAUGGAGACUACGGAGCUUACCUCGAUCUGGAAGCGUCUAUUAGCGAGCAACAAGAAGAGUUCGAAGGCUUUCAGACAAACCGGAAAAAUUCAAUCGUCCUCCGAACGCAGCUAUCAGUUCGCGUGCAUACGAUAAUCGAGAAAUUGCUGAACAGCGAAGGCCGUGAACUAAGACGUGCACUCUUCUCUCUCAAGCAGAUCUUUCAGGAGGAUAAAGAUCUAGUGCACGAGUUUGUGCAAAAUGACGGGCUGGCAUGUCUCAUCAAGGUCGGGAAUGAAGCGGACCAGAAUUACCAGAAUUACAUACUCAGAGCUUUGGGUCAAGUGAUGCUCUACGUAGACGGAAUGAACGGGGUGAUGGAGCAUGGUCAAACAGUACAAUGGCUGUACACUCUAAUAGCGAGCAGAUUUCGCCUGGUGGUGAAGACAGCGCUCAAACUGCUCCUCGUCUUUGUGGAGUACGUCGAAACCAAUAGCCUGCUAUUAGUGAGGGCUGUCAGAUCAGUAGACACCUCGCGUGGCAUGAUCCCCUGGACCAACGUUAUGAAGCUUCUCAAGGAUUACGACGCAGCGGACACUGAGCUACUCAUUUACGCGACGACACUCGUCAACAAGUGCCUGAAUGGGAUUCCGGACCAAGAUACUUACUACGACCAGGUCGACUGUCUAGAAGAGCAGGGGAUCGAGGGCAUUAUCCAGCGCUAUAUGUCCAAGCAGGGCACCGAUCUCGAUCUCCUCAGGCAGUUUCAAAUUUACGAGGCCGUUUUGCACCACGAGGACGGCAAUGACCGCGGCUCGCCCAUCCGACAGCUCGACGAUAAUAUCAGGAAAACAUUACGAAGCAGAAAAUCACUAGUGGAUUCACAUGAGCGACGUAAAUCACGACGACAUUCAACAGGAACUUCACCACUCUCGAUGUCUCUAAAUUCGCGUUUAAGUCCCCGCUUAAAUCACUCGCUGGGGCUGAAUUCACUGAACGGAACAUUUAAUUCCGGCAUACCGACGCCGGUUGACGACGACGACGAAUCGAGCAGUUCCCAGAGUUCACAGGGUCUCGAUGUCCAGCUUAACGGUAGUUACAAAGAAAAUAAAGACGACGCGGGAGUAACACCGGCACUUAGACGGCGACGUGAGCGUGCCGAAAGGCAGAGGAGUUUCAUCCGAGAACAACAGGAAGCGACAGCUAAUAUGAGGGCGUCAAUCGGAAAUUUGGACGGCAGCGAAGCGCCCGCGUACGUAUCGAAUGGGCUAAGAUACACGAACGGGUCUUCAGCUUACGACCGGAACAGCGAUUCCCCCAGCAAUAAAGUACCCCGAGCAAACAGCCGCAAGGAUCUUACACCCUUGAUGAACGCCGCUAACAAGCUUGAUUCCGAGGAAAAGAAACCACCGGCCCAAUCGCCUUCUCCGGUAGUUUGGUACGGGAAAAACCCGGAUGAAACUACCGGUGGUAUCGAAUGCAAUGAGCUGCUCAAUCACACCACCAAUGAGGACGAGGAUCGCCGGGUUCUUGUACAAAUUAAACGCGAGGGUACUGUUAAAGAUCUAACACAAAAGCUCGCUGCACAGAAUUUAAUACCCAGCAGUCCUGUCGAGGAUAAAGUGUCUAGAAUAGGAGAUAUGAGCGGAUUAAUAUCGAAAGCAAAAGAAGGCCUCGCAAAAUCAAAAUCAAAGGCCGACAUCGUAAAAUCACCAACGGGUGACAGCUUGCCAAAAAUAAACGAAGUCAAAAAAUCCGAAAAUGAGUUGCAUUGGGAAGAAUUAGUAAACCAGAUGAAGCGACCCUUGAGGUUGUGCGAUCUCGACUUCACCGAUCUGAACUCCGAUGACGAAAUCGACGUGUUGGGUCCAGUUAGCGUCGCGAACGGUGUUCCUCCACCCCCGCCGCCCAUGGCCUCCAAUAACUCAAAUGGGAUCGGACGUGCUCCCCCGCCUCCACCACCCGCUAACAACGCGGGAAAAUUUCCACCGCCAUUCCCCAAUGGACCGCCACCGCUCUUUGGAGUUAACCUUAAAUCCAACAGAUCUCUCUCAGCCAACCCCAUGGACUCUAACAGCAACUCAAACAACUCCACUGGUGGUGGUGUUACCAAUAAUUCGAGUGGCAUUAAAACACACCCUCAGACAGCCAUCGCCAAGAAGAAUAAAAAGACCGUGAAACUUUUCUGGAAGGAAGUUAGGGAUGAUCCUAUCAUUUUGUCACGUCUUGAUAAAAAUAUCAUGAUAUGGGACGAGUUGAUUCCUGUUGCUAUUGACACUCAGAAACUUGAGCAUCUCUUUGAAAGCCGAGCCAAAGAUCUCAUUACAAAGAAACAACAGGAGAUGAACAAAAACAAGGAGAUCAUUGUGCUCGAUCACAAAAGAUCAAACGCUAUCAAUAUUGGCAUGACCAAAUUACCCCCUCCGCGAUCAAUCAAGACGGCCAUUCUCAAGAUGGACGCUACUAUUAUGAAUCGAGAGGGCAUUGAGAAACUUCUGACGAUGCUACCAACCGAAGAGGAAAGAUCGAGAAUCCAAGAAGCGCAGGCCGCCAGUCCGGAUCUGCCUCUCGGUUCAGCAGAACAGUUUCUACUUACUCUUGCUUCCAUAUCUGAGUUACCGGCAAGAUUGAAGCUCUGGGCUUUCAAACUCGACUUUGAGAACUCUGAGAAGGAAAUAGCAGACCCGUUGAUGGAUCUUAAGCAAGGUAUGGAGACGUUGCGGAUGAAUAAAACGUUCCGUGGUAUUCUGAGCACACUGCUAUCAAUCGGGAUAUUCUUGAACGGAAAUGAGGUGAAGGGCUUUCAGCUGGAAUAUCUCACCAAAGUACCUGAAGUCAAGGACACCGUACACAAGCAUUCUUUGCUCCAUCACCUUUGUCAUAUGGUGAUGGAGAAGUUCCCGGACUCAACGGAUCUUUACUCUGAAAUCGGAGCUGUAACCCGAGCGUCGAAGAUUGAUUUUGACGAGUUGGCGUUAAAUAUCAGCAAGCUUGAGAGCGAAUGCAAAGCCUCUUGGGACCAUCUGAAACUUAUUGCCAAGCACGACGGCUCAACAAUGAUGAAAGUAAAAAUGUCAGACUUUUUAGCCGAUUGUGCGGAAAGAAUUAUAGUACUGAGUAUCGUUCAUCGGCGAAUAAUCAAUAGGUUUCACAAAUUUAUUCUCUGGCUUGGUAUUCCCUUGCAUCGUGUUCAAGACACAAAGCCCAAUGAAUUCUGCAGAAUUGUAUCUGAAUUCGCGCUGGAAUACAGAACGACUCGCGAACGUGUUAUACAACAGCUGGAGAAGAAAGCGAAUCAUCGUGAGAGGAAUAAGACGCGGGGAAAAAUGAUAACUGAGGUGGGUAAAUUCCGUACGAAAGAAGAUCGAGCUGACGCAGAACUUAGACAACUUCUUGGCAGUGAUAUUUCUGACGUUGAAAGUAUACACGGUACUUUACCUUGGAGAAGACAACGAAAGGAGGGACGAACUUUGCUGGGCCCUAUUCUGAGGGAUGAGACGACCAACGGAAACGUCACAGACGGCGAUGACGAGCUCCUGGAGUCACUAGUGAAGACUGCGACCAAGUGUCCAUCCACCAGGACAACUCCGCGCGAGCGCAAGAGGACGCGAAACGCCGAUCUAAAGCGAUCACGCACCCGCGAGAACAACACUACGUCAACAGGGUACCGACCCUAGAGAGACACGCGAUAUAUAUAUAUUUAGAUCCACCAUUUUAUUCCAUCGACGUUCAGAAAAAAAUGAUAAAAAUGAAAAAUGAAGUUAAAAGGAAUAAAGUGCGCAGGACUCUGAAAAACGGACUGUCGGAGGAAGAGAAGAAGCAUAUUGCGGCGUACAUAAAGGGCUACUGAUUAAAAUAUUAAAUAAUGUAAAAGAGGUUUUAAAAACUGUGAUAUCACUUUUAUGUAACACUG